GGUUCCAUGGUGUAGUGGUUAUCACAUCUGUUUACAUUGCAGAAGGUCGCGAGUUCGAGCCUCGCUGGAACCU